rnacentral:tRNA from 1 species
GUGAUAUAGGUCAGUGGUAUAAUAUCUGCCUAGCAUGCAGAGGGUCUGGGUUUGAUUCCCAGCAUAUACA